AUUGAACGCUGGCGGCAGGCCUAACACAUGCACGUCGAACGAGUGGCGGACGGGUGCGUCAUGUCUGGGAAACUGCCCGAUGGAGGGGGAUAACUACUGGAAACGGUAGCUAAUACCGCAUACCAUCGGAUGUGCCCAGAUGGGAUUAGCUAGUAGGUGGGGUAAUGGCUCACCUAGGCGACGAGCCCUAGCUGGUCUGAGAGGAUGACCCGCCACGCUGGAACUGUGACACGGUCCAGACUCCUACGGGAGGCAGCAGUGGGGAAUAUUGCACAAUGGGCGCAACCCUGAUGCAGCCAUGCCGCGUGUAUGAAGAAGGCCUUCGGGUUUUAAAGUACUUUCAGCGGGGAGGCGUUACCCGCAGAAGAAGCACCGGCUAACUCCGUGCCAGCCGCCGCGGUAAUAC
rnacentral:rRNA from 1 species